UAUAAUUAUGUAUAGUUAUAACUGUACUAUCCUGUGGUAUAACUAUGUAUAGUUUUAACUGUACUAUCCUGUAUAACUACGUUUAGUUAUAACUGUACUAUCCUGUGGUAUAACUAUGUAUACUUAUAACUGUACUAUCCUGUUUAACCUGUUGGGGCUCGGGGGCAGUAUUGAGACAUUUUGAAAAAAAUAUGUGCCCAUUUUUAACUGCCUCCUACACCAACUCAGAAGCUAGGAUAUGCAUAUUAUUAACACAUUCAGAUAUAAAACACUCUGAAUUUUCUAAAACAGUUUGAAUGGUGUCUGUAAGUAUAACAAAACUCAUAUUGCAGGCAAAAACCUGUGAAAAAUAGAUCAAAGAAAAUGUGAAUUUUGUGACUGUACUAUUUAGUGUCAUUGUUUUAUAGAUACCAUAGUGAGAAAGGAUUCAUUUCGCAACACCUACGGCUUCCACUAGAUGUCAACGAUCUUUAUAAAGUUGUUUGAAGCGUCUAUGAUAAACAGAGAGCAAAUUAGAAUCCAAGGAAGUUGACAUGUCAUCACUUCAUUUUUUUGCGCCUGCGCAUAAAUAUGAGAAACGUGAGUUUGUCAUCAUUUUUUAUCUAGACAUAGGAUAGGUUGUGUGAAAAUAUUACUGAUGUUUAACGUUAAAAAUGGACCAAAAGAUUAAUGCUAAACAACAUUUGACAUGUUUGAACGAACAUAAAUAGAUUAUUUACUAGGUUUUUUUAGCUUUUCGGGCGUGAUUUUACCAGCCCCCCAACCACGUUUUGUGGGAGCAUAAUGAACGCUAAGUACUUGGUGUUAUUUGGACAUAAAUUAUGAACUUUGUCAAAAGAAACCACAUUUGUUCCGGACCUGGAAUGCCUUCCGGACCUGGGAUCCUGCCUUCUGAUGGAGAUAAUCAAAGGGGGACCUGAGCCCUAGGACCAUGCCUCAGGACUACCUGGCAUGAUGACUCCUUGCUGUCCCCAGUCCACCUGGCCGUGCUGCUGCUCCAGUUUCUACUGUUCUGCCUGCGGCUAUGGAACCCUGACCUGUUCACCGGACGUGCUACCUGUCCCAGACCUGCUGUUUUCAACUCUCUAGAGACAGCAGGAGACGUAGAGAUACUCUCAAUGAUCGGCUAUGAAAAGCCAACUGACAUUUACUCUUGAGGUGCUGACCAGUUGCACCCUCGACAACCACUGUGAUUAUUAUUAUUUGACCAUGCUGGUCAUUUAUGAACAUUUGAACAUCUUGGCCAUGUGCUGUUAAAAUCUCCACCCGGCACAGCCAGAAGAGGACUGUCCACCCCCAUAGCCUGGUUCCUCUCUAGGUUUCUUCCUAGGUUUUGGCCUUUCUAGGGACUUUUUCCUAGCCACCGGGCUUCUACACCUGCAUUGCUUGCUGUUUGGGGUUUUAGGCUGGGUUUCUGUACAGCACUUUGAGAUAUCAGCUGAUGUAAGAAGGGCUAAAUAAAUACAUUUGAUUUGAUUUAAUAUCAACUCCAUUUAACAGGCUUCCUUGUAAUAUACCACUAUAUUCAACAGGCUUCCUUGUAAUAUGCCACUAUAUUCAACAGGAGGCUUCCUUGUCAUGUAAUAUCAUACCCAGCCAUGUGAGCGCUAAUAUCAUAUUAAGCAUUUAGCAUUUUCCAACCAUAGCAAGCCAUGUGAGCGCUAAUAUCAUAGUUAGCAUUUAGCAUGCGCCAUCCAUCCCCAGCCAUGUGUGCCCUUGUCGCGUCCUGACCAUGGUAAGCUGUUAUUUUUCUAUGGUAGAGUAGGUCAGGGCGUGACGGGGGUGUUUUUCUAUGUAUUGUUUUUCUAUGUUCAUGUUCUAGUUUUGUAUUUCUACGUUGGUUUUGUUUGGGAUGAUCUCCAAUUAGAGGCAGCUGGUCCCCGUUGUCUCUAAUUGGAGAUCAUACUUAAGUAGGUUUUUCUUUUUCCUUCUGGUGUUGUGGGAUCUUGUUUUUGUAUUGCUCAAUGAAGCUUGCAGAACGUGACGUUCGUGUUUCCUUGUUUAUUGUUUUUGUAUAGUGUUCUGAGUUAAUAAUAAAUAUUUAUCAUGAGCACUCAUCACGCUGCACCUUGGUCUACUCCUUACGACAAUCGUAACAGCCCUAAUAUCGGCACAUUUAGCAUACUCCAUCUGUACCCAGCCAUUUGUGCGCUAAUGUCAUAGUUAGCAUGCAACAAAUCUAUAUUCCACAUUAGGAAACCCAGGGCUGACAUAUUGGCUUCCUGUCUGUAUUAUUAAGUGACGGCAGACUGCUGCUCUGUGUGAUUAACCACUAAACUGUCUGUGGACAUUAUGUUCAACCACAUUAUAGUUUAGAUCAGGCCACAGGAGGCCAAGCAGGGCUUCUGAUCAACUGAUUGCUGGAUCUUCAUGUUGUGGCUGACCGAUUCAUCACCAGGGAUGUGUCUAAAAUGGCUGACCUAAUCAUCCCCAGGGUUGUGUCCAAAAUGGCUGACUUAAUCAUCACCAGGGAUGUGUCUAAAAUGGCUGACCUAAUC
rnacentral:lncRNA from 1 species